rnacentral:lncRNA from 1 species
CACAGCUCUUGCACCCCGCCCUAGUUUGUCUACUAUUUAAACGGAAAGUUCAGUUUUAGACUCAUGGAUAUUUCGCAGUACUGCCUUGGCAGGUGGGGUGACCGGGACAUAAACACCUGAGAGGUGCAGACUGCUUCAUGGGAAGGAAUUGGAGGGUGCUGCUACCGAGAAUCAGCCUUCUGAGACCAGGUAUAUGAAACGCCCUGUGUGGCUCUGGAGGCAUGCCAGGGCUGAGGACAGCAGGAAACAGAUUGUUUGAUACCCAUGUCUUUUCCUAGAACAAAAUUUUGGGUUCCUUUGUCUCCUUAUCCCUUCCCUGGGGGAGAUCUGGGGAUCCACUGGAACUCUGGCUAUACCCAGCUCUUCACCCCCGCUCCCCCAAAUCCCCAACCAGCUAUACACACUACAGAAAACCACAACCAAAUGAAAUGCAGAACUGUGGAGUCCAGUCACAACGGACACAUCUUUGAAAACACUCCCACACCUAAGGUUCACGGAACAUCAGGAUGGGAAGCCCAGAAAGACUCAGAGUCAGAGGAUCAGGGGAUAUGCUGUGAUAUUGUGUCCCCUGGUGAUAUUAGAAGCUACACCCAAAGUCUCACCAACAUGACCGUCUAAAUGCAUGCCGAACAAGGUCUAUGCCAACGGACAAGCCCAAGGGGACAGGAGAGAGCCCAAGAGGCCUCAGUCGUACAUGAAGAGCUACAGGCACCUGAAGGAAAUUAGGAGUGAGAGACAUGACUUUCCCCGCGGAAGAGCACGCCGAUUGGUUGCCCAGUGCCAAAUACUCAAUCCUGAAAACAGACAAAUAACAGUGCACAGUCUAAGCAGGUCAUAGUUCAGAAUAAAUAUGUAUAUGGAUGUAAUAACAAUAAAAGAGAGGCCAUAGAUUUAAAGGAGAGUGGGGAGGGGUUGCAUGGGAGGGUUUGAAGGAAGGGAAGGGAGAAAUGUACUUGUAUUAUAAUCUCAAAAAUAAAAAGAUUAAAAAAAUGAAGGAGAAAAAAGAGAAAGGUUAGGGGUCAGGGUAUAGUGGUGCUCUCCUGUGAUCCAGCACUUGGGAGGUAGAGGCAGUAGGAUUGGGAGUUCAAGGACACCCUCAGCUGCCUAAGCCAGCUUGAGGCCAGCCUGGGCUAUGUGAGACCUUGUCUUAAAGCCAACCAACCAAUCAACCAAAGAAUAAGGGACAAAAACUCCCUGUUG